AAGGUCAAAGAGGAUUUGCAAAUGCAAAGCAGGAAACGUUUCGGGGUGGGGAUUGCACUUUUUUUUUUUUUUUUUUUUUUAGAUGGAGUCUCGCUCUGUCGUCCAGGGUGGAGUGCAGUGGCGCAAUCUUGGCUCACUGCAACCUCCGCCUCCCGGGCUCAAGCCAUUCUCCUGCCUCAGUCUCCCGAGGAGCUGGGACUACAGGUGCACACCACCAAGCCUGGCUGAUUUUUGCAUUUUUAGUAGGGACAGUAUUUCACCAUGUUGGUCAGACUGGUCUUGAACUCCUGGCCUCAAGCGAUCUGCCCGCCUCGGCCUCCCUAAGUUUUCGGAUCACAGGCGUGAGCCACCACGCCCAGCCGGAUUGCAAUUUUAAAUAGCAUAAUCAGAGAGGCUUAAUGGAAGAGGUAAUAUUUGAGGAAAGACCUGAAGAAGGUAAGGGAGUAGGCACUGAAGAUAUUGGGGGAACAGUGCUCCCCGAGACAUCUGGGCAGCCAGGCACAGGGACCACAAGCAGAAAAGGGUCCUGUGAGGGUUUCGUGUUUUCUUUACAAUUUGUCAAUGUGAACACCAUGCUCACACCAAAGAACAGCAAGUUUCCUACCUGGCUUCUCUGCCUUCCUCCUUCCUUCCCUCCCUUCCUCCCUCCUUCCUUCCUUUCUUCCUUUCUUCCUUCCGUUCUCCCUUUCUUCCCAAUAUGCCCCACUUCAAUGGAUGAGUUUUCCAGCUCCCUCGGCUGCUUUCUGCAUUGCACAUGACAAGUAUCCACUAAAUAUUCAUUCAUUAGAAACAGCCAGACGAUGCUGAGCCUCUGUAGCUCUCUAGCAUCUACCAUAGCACAGAUCUCAGGAAGACCCACAAGAUACAUUUGUCAACAAGUCGAUGGCCUCCUAUGUGGCCCUGUGCUGUGUGCUGAGGCUACAGGAAGGAACAAAGCCUCCUAUCUGGGGGCCCACUUCUGCAGUUAAGUUCAUCUGGUGUCCUUUGUAAUACUGCAAAGAGAACUUCUUACGCUGUAGCUGAAUGAGAGAAAUAUCCCAUUCCAAACCUCUGAUGGAAACUGGCCAAGUCAGCGUGUGAGAGGAAGAAGGAAGUGCUGGCUCCUCAUUUUCCUUCCACCAUGAUUGGAAGCUUCCUGAGGCCUCACCAGAAGCAGAUGCUGCCAUGCUUCCUGUACAGCCUGCAGAACCGUGAGCCAAUUAAACCUCUCUUCUUAUAAACUACCCAGUCUCAGGUACUUCUUUAUAGCAGUGUGAGAACAGACUAAUACAAUGACUACUGAUCAUAGUGGAUUGGCCACUGGAGAGAAAGCUGAUGGAGCAGAGAGCACUUGGGAAGAAACCAUUAAACACUGAAAGAGGAAGAGGUGGUGGAGAUACAUUGGAGAGAACAAAUACAAUAGACUUAUCUGAGGUCAAAUCAACAGAACCCAGCAACGGAUCAGACAGAGAGAGAAAGCAGAAAGAGUGAAAUAAAACUCCACGGUUCUAGCCUGAGUGAUUAAGGGCAGAGCAAUGUUCUGGACCUUGCUGGGAGAUUCAGGAAGAAGAGGGAAAUCUGGGUUUAUUUCAAGGAGGGGUGGGAAGGAGAGAUGAGAUGAAGGAGGACCAGGAAAAUAAAAUAUUUCAAGUUAGCUAUGCUGCAUUGGAAGUGCUUACCGCAUAUCCAGGUAAGACGUCCACUGGGUAGUUAAGAUCUAUGGGUCUGGAACCCAGGAGAGAAAUUGGGGUUGGAAAUGCAGACUUGGGAGUCAAAAUCAUAAUGAUGUUCUCAGUCUUUUGGAUUUCAAAUUUUAGUAAAAUUAUCAAAAGAAAAAAAGCAAUUUGCACGAGUAACUUUUUUGUUUGUGAAUUACCACCAUCUACUUUCACAAAGAACCAGACACUGUAAUUCCCAAAAGGUAUAAAAGGCAUCAUCUUAGAAUAAAAGGUCCUCCUUCAAAGAGAGUAAAUUUAGCCUUAUGGAAAACUUCCUCCAUCAUCCCCAUUUUUCUCAUUUUGCUGCAAACCUGUAAAACUUGUAUCCCACAGACAGUUUGGAUUGCAUUUGGCCACCAUGGGUUUGAGACAUGGCGGGAACAAAAGUGUGAGUUCUUUUGUUUGUUUUUUAGAGACAGAAUCUCACUCUGUUGCCUAGACUGGAGUGCAGUGGCACAGUCAUGGCUCACUGCAGCCUCAAACCCCUGGGCUCAAGGGAUCUUUCUGCCUCUGCCUCCCAGAUAGCUGGGGCCAGAGGUGUGCACCACCACACCUGGCUAUUUUUUUUAAUUUUUGUAGAGACGAGGUCUCACUAUGUUGCCCAGGCUGGUCUUGAACUCCUGCCUCAAGCAAUCCUCCUGCCUUGGCCUCCCAAAGUGCUGGUAUUACAGGCCUGAGCCACAAAGCCUGGCCAACCGUGAGGUCUGAUGAGACACCUUGUAAGAGCAUUUAGAGCUCACAGGGAAGAUGGGGAACAUAAAAGAAAAUGGAACCAUCUAGCAGAGGAGAUGAGCGUAGAGGCAGAAGCAGUGGGGGAAAUCAAUGAAGAAUAAAAAAAUAGGAACGAGAAGGGUCCUUCCCCCUUUUCUAUCACACUCAGAUAGAAACUAGCACUCACAUCCCUGCGUGAACCGGGGAGGCGGAGGCUGCAGGGAGCAGAGAUCGCACCACCCCACUCCAGCCUGGCGACAGAGCGAGACUCUGGUAGAGACGGGAUUUUGAUCAGGGUGGCAAAGAUGAAGCCACAAACUAAGAAGAGUCAGGGCCAGGCGCAGUGGCUCACGCCUGUAAUCCCAACACUUUGGGAGGUCGAGACAGGAGGAUCACUUGAGGCCAGGAGUUUGACACCAGCCUGGCCAACAUGGUGAAACCCUGUUUCUACUAAAAAUACAAAAAUUAACCAGGUGUGGUGGCGCGUGCCUGUAAUCCCAGCUACUCAAGAGGCUGAGACAGGAGAAUUGCUUGAACCCAGGAAGCGGGAUUGCAGGGAGCUGAGAUUGCGCCACUGCACUCCAGCCUGGGCGACAGAGUGAGACUCUGUCUCAAAAAAAAAAAAAAAAAAUUAGGGUCGGGAAACCGCAGCCCAUGAGCCAGGUCCAUCCUGCCUGCUGCCCGGUUUUGUGCAACACAUGGGCUUAGAAUGUUUUUACAUUUUGAAAUGGUUAAAAAAAAAGCAAAAGAAGAACACUACUUCAUGACAUGUGAAAAUUAUUUGAAAUUCAAAUUUCAACAUCCAGAAAUAGUUUCACUGGAGCGCAGUCACCCUCAGCUGUUCACAUAUUGUCUGUGGCUGCUUUCAGGCUGCAGGACGGAGUUGAGUCAGCGUGAAAGAGAUUGUGUGGUCCACAGAGUCUAAAAUAUUUCCUGGCUGGGCGCCAUGGCUCACACCUGUAACCUAAGCACUUUGGGAGACUGAGGAGGGAGGAUCGUUUGAGCCCAGGAGUUCAAGACCAGCCUAGGCAACACAGCAAGAUUUCAUCUCUACAAAAAAAAAAUUUUUUUUUUUUUGAGACGAAGUCUUGCCCUGUCGCCAGGACAGAGUGCAAUGGCGCGAUCUCAGCUCACUGCAACCUCUGCCUCCCGGGUUCAAGCGAUUCUCCUGCCUCAGCCUCUUGAGUAGCUGGGACUACAGGCAUAUGCCCCCACACCCAGCUAAUUUUUGUAUAUUUAGUUGAGGUGGGGUUUUACCAUGGUGGCCAGGAUGGUCUCGAUCUCUUGACCUUGUGACCUUGUGAUCCGCCCGCCUGGGCCUCCCAAAUUGCUGAGAUUACAGGCGUGAGCCACCAUGCUUGGCCAUUCUUUUUUUUUUUUUUUUUUUUGAGACAGAGUCUUGCUCUGUCACCCAGGCUGGAGUGCAGUGGUGCGAUCUCAGCUCACUGCAGCCUCCACCUCCUGGGUUCAAGUGAUUCUCCUGCCUCAGCCUCCCAAGUAGCAGGGACUACAGGUGCACGCCAUCAUGCCCAGCUAAUUCUUGUAUUUUUUAAUAGAGAUGGGGUUUUGCCAUGUUGGCCAGGCUGGACCAAAAAAAAUUUUUUUAAUUAGCUGGGCAUGGUGGUGCAUUCCUGUAAUCCCACCUACACAGAGGACUGACGUGAGAGGAUGGCUCACGCCCAAAGGUUGAGGCUGCAGUGAGCUACGAUUGUGCCACUGCACUCCAGCCUGGGUGACAGAGUGAGACCCUGUCUCAAAAUAAAAUAAAAUAAAAUAUUUUCUAUCUGGCUCCUUUCAGAAAAAGUUUGCCUACCCUUGCACCGGAAGCAGGAGGGAAAGAGAUGGGCUUGUUGGAAACCAGGAAAGGAGAAAUUGACAGAGCUGCAGGGAGCAAUCCCUUUCCACCUUCACCCAGGACUGAGAUCAUGUCAUACAAAAGCCCUGUGUUGUUCAGAGGACCAGAGGGGCUGGAGUGGAGUGAAGUGGUGUGAUCUCGGCUUACUGCAACCUCUGCCUCCCAGGUUCAAGCGAUUCUCCUGCCUCAGCCUCCUGAGUAGCUGGGAUCACAGACGCCUGCCAUCAUGCCUGGCUAAUUUUUGUAUUUUUAGUAGAGAUGGGGUUUCGCCAUGUUGGUCAGGCUGGUCUCGAACUCCUGACCUCAAGUGAUCCACCUGCCUCGGCCUCCCAAAGUGCUGGAAUUACAGGCAUGAACCACUGCACCUGGCCUCUAUUACCUUUAAAAGUGCUCCUUGAAGAGAAAAUCCACUCUGCCGUUUCAAGCUUGACUUCCCUCCCCAGUCUUAGAGACUGAUCACUGGGGCAGAGUGACAUUUUCCCACAAUGCUGGCUCAUUAUUUUCCUCCUGGAAUUGCAAAUCCAAGGGACAAGUGGUACAGCCUGCACCCAUCCAGAAGGGGAGGGAAUCCCACCAGAGGUGCCCUGAAACAAAGAAAACAAGUAACUUCAAAACCACAUCCUAAAAUCUGGACCUGUGACAGGACAGAUGGAACUCUGGAUUGUUUGAUUCUAUCAGCAGAACAGAGGAAGGAAAUGUUUUAAAACGAGAUUAUGUUAUUUUCCCCAGUUAUUAUGAAGCCUUCCUGAAAUGAACUUUAAAUAUCGGCCACCACUUUCAUGAGGCUGAAUGGGAUUCAGCAAUUAGGAGCGUUGCAGGGAAGUGUGGCAGGGCAGAGGUGGGACAAAUUGCAGAUCCCUGUGGGGUCCCUUGGUUAGGUGACAAUUAGUCUAUAAAACACAGCUGUGUGUGUUAGGGAGGGAGUGGUGUCUUUAAAAAGCUCUGUGCCCAAUAGGAACAUUAAUUAAAGGGUCUUUUUUCAAAGGACAUUAAUAAUAAUGAAUAAAAAGCCUUCUGCGACUUUUGCCCUCAAUGAGAAAAUGACUGACAACUACGUAUCGUAUAGAGAAGAAAAAAUAUCCUAGAAGUUAUGAAAAUUUCCCCAAAAUGAAAUCAUACAAUAAUCCUUUAUAAUGCUGGGCUUCCUAGACAGAAUUUUCCAAAGGAAGCUGUCUAUAUCAUCCAGCCCCAAGCCCUGCUGAAUAAUACACGAUAGCUGUGUCAUUAGUGUCCUCUAGCCAAAUAACUGUCCAGGCAGGAUGACAUGGAUGUGGUCGCUUGUCCCCUCUGCGUGGAUGUCCUCCCACACAUGCCUCUCAAUGCCAGGGUUCCUCAAGACCCUCUGAGAGUCAGCUCCUGUAUCCAACUGCUUACCUGAUAUUGCCUCCAAGAAGCCUUAAAACACCUGAAAUGUAAAGGUCUUCCCCAGGAUCCUCCCGGUCUUCACAUCCCUAUAAAUGGCGUCAACACCCAUCCACUCAUGAAGCCAGAACUUAGGAUUCAUCCCCAAUUCUUCCCUCUCCCCCGACAUCCAAUUCAUCAGCAGAUUCCGGGGCUUCGCUCUCCCAGUGAUCUCUCCCAUCUGAGGCUUUCCCUCCAGUGGUUUAUUGCUUCUAUCGUGGUCUAGGUAAGCAUCAUCUAGACUUGCCCUGGACUAGUGCAAAAGUCUCCUGAGUCUUCUCUCUUCAUCUAUUCUCGGGGGCCACAGCCAGACCAUUCUCUACAGAGUUAAAAAGAGCGACUUCUGAAGGAGUGAACAGACCCGCAUCAUUGCCCUGCUUAAGAUCCUUCAGCGACUUCCCAUAGCAUUUAGAACACAAUGCAAACUUUUCUGUAGCCUUGCAACCCCUGCUUGAAUUGGUCUGGCUAUUUCUCUAGCUUCUUCUCAACCCCUCUUUCCUCACCUGGUAUUCCAGCAGCUUCAGGGUUUCACAGUCUUCAGACACUCUUGUGCCUUCCCACUUCUAAGCCUCUUGUGUUUUCGGUUCCCUGUGCCAGGAAAGUUCACCCACUGCUCCCCAACUUCAGAGACCACCAUUUUGGAUACAUAGCAUUGGCCUGACAUUCUUUUUCUUUUAACUGUCAGACAUUAGGGCUGACCUAACUGUCACUACUGGAGUUCAAUAUGGCCCCCAAAAGAGCACCCUGCCGCUGUAAGUUCUGAGCCCAUUGAGAAAUGAGACAAAGAAUCUAGGCAGAUGGAGACCAAAUGCAUCAGCUCUAUUUCUUAUAAAAUUGAUAUUGGAGAAUGUGGCAUAUAAUACCUGCAAACAAGUGGUUUCCUAAUACCAACCCCAGAUUGGAUUUACCCACCCAGUCGGAGGCCAUGCAGGGUCUGGGCAGACCCCCGAUGUAGGGGGGUCUCAGGGCCUUAGUGCAGCCCUCCUGGCACCCCCAGCUUCCUUGUAUGAUUGUGCAUGUUUGUCCCAUCAGUCCGUGAACUUCCCAAAGCAGACACCAGGCAGAAUAAAGAAUACCGGGGAAGGCUGGGCAUGGUGGCUCAUGCCUA
rnacentral:lncRNA from 1 species